UACAGAGGGUGCGAGCGUUGUCCGGAAUCACUGGGCGUAAAGGGCGCGUAGGUGGCUUGUUAAGCGUGUGGUGAAAGCCUGGGGCUCAACCCCAGGUCUGCCGUGCGAACUGGCAAGCUUGAGCGUAGUAGAGGCAGGUGGAAUUUCGGGUGUAGCGGUGGAAUGCGUAGAUAUCCGAAAGAACACCGGUGGCGAAGGCGGCCUGCUGGGCUACUGCUGACACUGAUGCGCGACAGCGUGGGGAGCAAACAGGAUUAGAUACCCUGGUAGUCCACGCCGUAAACGAUGGGUACUAGGCGUCUGGGGGAGCGACCCCCUGGGUGCCGGCGCUAACGCAUGAAGUACCCCGCCUGGGGAGUACGGCCGCAAGGCUGAA
rnacentral:rRNA from 1 species